ACAGCUCAAAUUUGAAAUCUGGCUCACGCCCGAAUUGUAAUUUGUAGAGGAUGCUUUUGGUGCGGUGCCUUCUGAGUUCCCUGGAACGGGACGCCGAAGAGGGUGAGAGCCCCGUAUAGUCGGACACCAAGCCUUUGUAAAGCUCCUUCGACGAGUCGAGUAGUUUGGGAAUGCUGCUCAAAAUGGGAGGUAAAUGCCUUCUAAAGCUAAAUACCGGCCAGAGACCGAUA
rnacentral:rRNA from 1 species